GUGUCAGCAGCCGCGGUAAUACGGAGGGUGCAAACGUUGCUCGGAAUCAUUGGGCGUAAAGCGCACGUAGGCGGUCCAGCAAGCGGGGAGUGAAAGCCCUCGGCUUAACCGAGGAAGUGCUUUCCGAACUACUGGACUUGAAUACUGAAGAGGAUCGCGGAAUUCCCGGUGUAGAGGUGAAAUUCGUAGAUAUCGGGAGGAACACCAGUGGCGAAGGCGGCGAUCUGGGCAGAUAUUGACGCUGAGGUGCGAAAGCGUGGGGAGCAAACAGGAUUAGAAACCCGCGUAGUCC
rnacentral:rRNA from 1 species